GAUCAUGGCUCAGGAUGAACGCUAGCGACAGGCCUAACACAUGCAAGUCGAGGGGCAGCGGAGAGGUAGCAAUACCUUUGCCGGCGACCGGCGCACGGGUGAGUAACACGUAUGCAAUCCACCUGUAACAGGGGGAUAACCCGGAGAAAUCCGGACUAAUACCCCAUAAUAUGGGCGUUCCGCAUGGAGAGCUCAUUAAAGAGAGUUAAUUUUGGUUACAGACGAGCAUGCGCUCCA
rnacentral:rRNA from 1 species